UUAGAAGGAAUUGACGGGGCCGCACAAGCGGUGGAGCAUGUGGUUUAAUUCGACGCAACGCGAAGAACCUUACCAGGGCUUGACAUCCCCUGACCGCGUAUGAAAGUACGUUUUCACCCUCGGGUGACAGGGAGACAGGUGGUGCAUGGUUGUCGUCAGCUCGUGUCGUGAGAUGUUGGGUUAAGUCCCGCAACGAGCGCAACCCCUACGUUUAGUUGCUAACGCGUGAAGGCGAGCACUCUAGACGAACUGCCGUUGACAAAACGGAGGAAGGUGGGAUGACGUCAAAUCAUCAUGCCCCUUAUGUUCUGGGCUACACACGUGCUACAAUGGCCGGUACAGACGGACGCAAAGCCGCGAGGUGGAGCAAAUCCUAAAAAGCCGGUCUCAGUUCGGAUUGCAGGCUGCAAUUCGCCUGCAUGAAGUCGGAAUCGCUAGUAAUCGCAGGUCAGCAUACUGCGGUCGAAUACGUUCCCGGGCCUU
rnacentral:rRNA from 1 species